UGAGGACGAAAGGCUCCUUCAAAAGGCGGGCGAGGGGCCGGGGGCGGUGGCUCACACCUGUCAUCCCAGCACUUGCGGAGGCCGAGGUGACUGGAACUGAUUUGACAUAACCAUCGUAUGCAUGGAGAAGCUGAGAACAGUAAUCUGCAGAAGCAAAAGUAUGAAACAGCCGGGCAAAGAUGCACAGAGGCUUUACCUUCCUCUGAUAAUUGGCAAAAGGUUCUGAAGCUCCCAGGCCAUCUGGAGUCCUUGUAAACUAGCAUACCUACAGCUGUACAAGCCAUAUUUUGAUAGCCCCCUGUAGCUAAUGGCUACCAUAUUGAACAGCAAAGAUAUACGGUACUUACCCAGCAGUAUAGAAAGCUCAACCGGACAGUGCUACAACAGUUGCAGGUAAGCAAGCAAGGUAAGGAUAGUCCCAAUCAGAUAGAUGGCAUCUAUUUUGUGUGAAGCCUUGUGAGGUGGCUCACACCUGUAGUCCCAGCUACUU
rnacentral:lncRNA from 1 species